GAGACAAGUGAACAGGCAGAUGGAAAACAGCAUGGUGAGUAAUACAGACGGUGGGAAGAACAGGGUACUAUGGCAUCUGCUGUGGAAAGAAGAUAGAUCUAGGUGAUGGUUAAGUCUAAGACAAAGGAGGAGUAAAAUCAUCAAGGAAAGCAGGAGAGAGGGAAGGAAGUGGAAAGCAGACAAAAAAAAAAAAAAAAAAAACAACAGCAGCUGUAGAAGCCUGAGAAGAAGAGAGAGUCAAGUCCUUAGAGGGACUGAAAGCAGAGACAUAACGGCACAAAACGAGAUGGGAAAGUGACGGAGCAACACGUGAGUCUGUAAUGAGUGUAAUUGAUGCCUUUGUUUUCAAAUGAGAUAUUUCUGGAGUGAUAAAUCUGGAUCUAUGGAUCUUACAUAAGGGAUUUAGGUGGGCAGCAGCACUUGGUUAUUUACAAGUUCAGGAUCCAUUUUAUAAAGUAAGGAAAGAUUGCUAUCUGUCUCCAGCACUAUGGCGAGAUAAUUAAUAGGAGCACUGCUGGAGACUGAUAGUGCAGGCGGCUGAUACCCGUGGCAGGAGCUCUCGUCAUCUAACUGCCACAGAAUUGUGAAGGUAAAGAAUCUGCAGAAAAGCGGAACAUGCAUUUUUACUAAAUAAAUGCAUUAUCUAUAGCACACAUUAUAGAGGUUUGUUGUUGUUGUUGUUAAUCUAGCAUUUAACAGAAAUAAAAGAGAUUGUUUCUAAACCACUUUAAACUGUUCUGGCAACUACCUUAGACCCUUCUGGCGAAGCAUCUCUAAAGAAGACCAUUGACAGCCACUAUCAGUAGCAGCAGCAGUGGGCAUGUGUCCCCGCUUGCCACCCCACAAAAAAGCAAACAAACAAAAAUCAUUCCCAGAUGAAAACUAUGAAAUUGUAAACUAUAAAAGGGAAGAC